GAUCGAUUACGUCGUGACUUUUGGUCGA
rnacentral:sRNA from 1 species